GUCAGGUGUGGUGGCCCACAUCUGUAAUCCCAGCAACUUGGGAGGCUGAGGCAAAAGGAUUGCAAGCCUCAGCAACCUAGUGAGACACUGUCUCAA
rnacentral:sRNA from 1 species